AUGAGGACCUGCGCUCUCCUCCUCGCUGUCACCGUCGCCCCCGCGGCGUUCGGCGGCGCACAAGCCGCUAGGAGACGAAGUUUCUGGCGGCCUCUGUGGCAGCCACUGCCAACGCCGCCUGCGAUCGCCGCCACGUGCCAGGCGGCUCACGACGCCGACAAGCGCGCCAACGUCACCUUCUGCAUGAAUAUCUUUGGCCUGUUAAGACCGCACGACAGCACCGUGCGGGGCCUCGCCCAGGCCGCCGCAUCCAUGGGCGCCGGUCGCGCCGACACCGCGCAGACCACGAUCGACAGGACGCUCAGGCAGGGCGGCGUCGACGAUCCGAGAGCCAGGCGCGCGCUGGAGCGGUGCGACCGGCUGUACGGCUCCGCCGCCGCGGCCUUCAAGGCGGCGCGCAAGGCGAUCACGGAGGGGCGGUACGCCGACGUCGGGCGGGCGCUGGAGGGGGUCUCGGAGCUGGGGCGCCAGUGCGACUCGGAGAACCCCCCGGCCAGCAGUGGCAAUCUGGCGCCGCUCUGGAUCUUCAGCGGGGCAAACGAGCAGCUCACGUACCUCACCAUCGCCAUCACCAGCCUGAUCAAAUCCCCACCACUGAUUCCACCCCGCCUAGGCCGCCGCCUGCCGCCGCGCUGCCCCAUCGCGUUCGCGUUCGCUCCGGCCGCCCCGACCCCGCCCGCCUCCGCCUCCGGUCCAUCCUCCGCCCGGCCCCGCUCCGCCCGCCUCCUUUCCGGCCCUGCUCCAUUCGCCUCCUCUCCGGUCCGUCCGCCGCGCCGCUCCGUCCGCUUCCGCCCCGCGCCGCACUCCGCCGCCCCGCUCCGUCCGCCUCCGCCCCGCGCCGCACGUCGCCGCCCCGCUCCCCGCUCGGCCGCCGCCCGCUCCCCGAUGGCGCCGAAGAAGACGCCGAAGGGAAAGUCCGGUUUCUUCGGCAUGAGGGCGAAGCCCUCCGGGAACUUCGGACUGGAGUUCUCCGAUGCCGGGCAGCGUUGGUGGCUCGGCACGUAUCCCACCGCCGAUGAGGCUGCUCGUGCCUACGACGUGGCGGUGUGGCGUGCCGGACGGCCGAAGACGGAUCUAAACUUCCUGGAGGUCGAGUCCCAGGCGGUGGCGGAGUGGCUCGUACCGCAGGGCAUCCGGAUGGAGGAGAUGCCGGCUAAGAAGGCGAAGAAGAGACCGGCGGUUGUUAUCGCUCCCGGCGAGAGCGACGAGGCAACGAUGGCUUGGUUUGCGUGA
rnacentral:rRNA from 1 species